UUAGCUAAAACCAAAAAAGAGGUAAAUUAUUGUUAAUAAUUAAAAUGAAUAUAUUUCUAGUUGAA
rnacentral:tRNA from 1 species